GUCUCCAGCCAUACCACCCUGAAUGCACCCAAUCUUGCCGAUCUCAGAAGUUAAUCAGUGUUGGGUCUGAUUAGUCCUUGGGUGGGAGAAA
ensembl:rRNA 5S_rRNA 5S ribosomal RNA